GCGAACCGCGACGCAGGCGCACGUUGCCGCGACCUGGCCACCAAAACAACGAAACGCGGUGUUCGAAUUACGAAAUUCAAAUUUUCGAAUCAGUGGAAGCAGUGCCCGUUUCUGUGACGUUCAAAAAAGAAUAUCAGUGACAGAUCUUCACAGUGCACCCUUUUGUUCUUUUGUUGUUUUGCACCAGCUGUCAAAAUAUUGCACAGCGAACCAAGAUUGACCGUUCAUCAAUUGUCUUCAUACAGAUCCACGUACUGCUGACCUACAAAAAAAUAAAUACACCAGAUACGAACGAGAAAAAAGAUCCAAUCACUUGGAUGUAGACCGAACGAUGACAGAUUAGACAGAGACAAGCCGCACAGCGAGA